rnacentral:rRNA from 1 species
GGUGUCAAACCGGAGGAAGGUGGGGAUGACGUCAAGUCAUCAUGCCCCUUAUGUCCAGGGCUUCACGCAUGCUACAAUGGCUGGUACAGAGAGUGGCGAGCCUGUGAGGGUGAGCGAAUCUCGGAAAGCCGGUCUCAGUUCGGAUUGGGGUCUGCAACUCGACCUCAUGAAGUCGGAGUCGCUAGUAAUCGCAGAUCAGCAACGCUGCGGUGAAUACGUUCCCGGGGCUUGUACACACCGCCCGUCAAGUCAUGAAAGUUGGUAACACCC